GACGAACGCUGGCGGCGUGCUUAACACAUGCAAGUCGAACGAAGUGGCGAACGGGUGAGUAACGCGUAAUCAACCUGCCCUUCAGAGGGGGACAGCAGUUGGAAACGACUGCUAAUACCGCAUACUGAAGGAGGGGAGUGCGUCUGAUUAGCUAGUUGGAGGGGUAACGGCCCACCAAGGCGAUGUUCAGUAGCCGGUCUGGGAGGAUGAACGGCCACAUUGGGAAGUAGACACGGCCCAGACUCCUACGGGAGGCAGCAGUGGGGAAUCUUCCGCAAUUGACGAAAGUCUGACGACGCAACGCCGCGUGAGUGAUGACGGCCUUCGGGUUGUAAAGCUCUGUUAAGCGGGACGCGGUACCGGAAUAGAAAGCCACGGCUAACUACGUGCCAGCCGCCGCGGUAAUAC
rnacentral:rRNA from 1 species